rnacentral:rRNA from 1 species
GACGAACGCUGGCGGCGUGCCUAAUGCAUGCAAGUCGAGCGCAGGAAGCCGACGGAACCCUUCGGGGGGAAGUCGACGGAAUGAGCGGCGGACGGGUGAGUAACACGUAAAGAACCUGCCCUCAGGUCUGGGAUAACCACGAGAAAUCGGGGCUAAUACCGGAUGGGUCAUCGGACCGCAUGGUCCGAGGAUGAAAGGCGCUUCGGCGUCGCCUGGGGAUGGCUUUGCGGUGCAUUAGCUAGUUGGUGGGGUAAUGGCCCACCAAGGCGACGAUGCAUAGCCGACCUGAGAGGGUGAUCGGCCACACUGGGACUGAGACACGGCCCAGACUCCUACGGGAGGCAGCAGUAGGGAAUCUUCCACAAUGGACGAAAGUCUGAUGGAGCAACGCCGCGUGAACGAUGAAGGCCUUCGGGUCGUAAAGUUCUGUUGUAAGGGAAGAACAAGUGCCGCAGGCAAUGGCGGCACCUUGACGGUACCUUGCGAGAAAGCCACGGCUAACUACGUGCCAGCCGCCGCAGUAACAC